UACGUAGGUGACAAGCGUUGUCCGGAUUUACUGGGCGUAAAGAGCGCGCAGGCGGUCGUUCAAGUCGAGUGUGAAAGCCCCCCGGCUCAACUGGGGAGGGUCAUUCGAUACUGAUCGACUCGAAGGCAGGAGAGGGUAGUGGAAUUCCCGGUGUAGUGGUGAAAUGCGUAGAUAUCGGGAGGAACACCAGUGGCGAAGGCGGCUGCCUGGACCGGCCCUGACGCUGAGGCGCGAAAGCUAGGGGAGCAAACAGG
rnacentral:rRNA from 1 species